CGGAGAGAGGCAGGCAAGGCAGGCAGGGCGAGGGCGAGAGACGGAGGGAGGGAGCGAGCGAGCGAGGCAGACCAGACAGACAGACAGGCGGGCGGGCGGGCAGAGCGAGCCACCCGCCAGGCUGCGCUCAGCCCCGCUCGCAGCGGAGAGAGCAGAAGGCAGGAGGAGGGAGGGGAGGAGGGAGGAGGGAGGGAGAGAGGGAAUCCAGCUACCACCACCCAAAGCCAGCGUCUGCUUUCUGUCCUCAUUUCCUUUUCCCACCCAGCUCGGAGAGCAGAGAAAGGCAGAGAGAGCGAGAAAUAGAGACAGGCAGACAAACAGACAGACAGACAGAGCGGGAGGGAGGAGGGCGGCGGAGGAGGAGCAGGAGGACUACGCGGGGCGCCUUCCCUCCCAGCCGGGCGCCCGCGUCGCUGCCGCUGGCGGAAGAUAGACGCCCCCCGAAACCCCUCGCCUGGCUCGGACCCACGGAGCCGGCAGCCCAGCACUCCGUUGUGGGACUUGAACUCUGAGCUGUUGGGGAGGGAGUGAACACAGCAGGCUGGAAGAAUGUUGGAGGUGCAGCCUUAAGAUGAUGGCUGGAUGCUGGGGUACUGUUGGAGCCUGCUGGGAAUGCAAGGUAGGCAGCCAAUCUCUGGGUGUGUGCCCCUGCGGUAGGGGCAAGUGAGUGGGCAGUGACACUAGGAUACUGUGCGUGUGUG